rnacentral:lncRNA from 1 species
CCGAAGUCGGGAUUCUUUCUUUCCUGCUCUGAGAGGGACCAGGUCCCUCCUCCGUAGCUUUUGUCUCUCUAUUGCCUGCGCCGUGUCCUGGACUGCUCACGGGAGUUCUGCAGGAGACGCCGGAAUAUCUGGAAGCUGAAAAAUGGAAAUAAAUGGAAAGACCAGAAUAUUGAAGAUCACUACAGAAAUCUAAGGUGACUCCCACGACCAGUGCGGGUCACAGCACAGGCGACAGAAGCUAUGGCAGAGGCACCUGAACCCUCUCGGAGGGGAAAGCCAGGCUCCCAACCUCAGCUCGCCGCCUGGAGCCGGGAACCGAGGAGAGCAGGGCCUUCGCCCUCCCCGAUGGACACUCGGCAGGCCCCGCCCAGCGCCCCUGAUUGGACGAAGCGCCGGGCCCCGCCCCCUCAGCCUUUUGAGUCAGGGUCUCACCCUGUGGCCCAGGCUGCCCUCCAGUGAUGCCAUCAUGACUCAGUGCAACCUCAAACUCCCAGGUUCAAGCGAUCUUCCAUCCUGACCUCCAAAAGGGCUGGAUUAUACACAUAAGCCAUGUCACACUUUAUAUGUUUCUAGGGAAGCUUUUCUAAGAAUAAAUACAUUGGAACUA